CGCAUCUGUGCAUGCAGCAUAUCAAUAAGCGGAGGAAAAGAAACUAACAAGGACUCCCCUAGUAACGGCGAGUGAAGCGGGAAGAGCUCAAAUUUGAAAUCUUAAAGGGUUUCCCUUUACGAAUUGUAGUUUAAAGAAGUGUUUUCUGUUGAGGUUUUGGUAAAAGUUCUUUGGAAUAGGACAUCAUAGAGGGUGAGAAUCCCGUAUUUGACCUUUACUUUCAACUUUGUGAUACACUUUCAAAGAGUCGGAUUGUUUGGGAAUGCAGUCCAAAAUGGGUGGUAAAUUUCAUCUAAAGCUAAAUAUUGGCGAGAGACCGAUAGCGAACAAGUACCGUGAGGGAAAGGAUGAAAAGAACUUUGAAAAGAGAGUUAAACAGUACGUGAAAUUGUCAAAAGGGAAGCGUUUGACACCAGUGUUGUUUUUCUGAAAAUCAAUUAAAGAACUGUUUAUGCUAAGCUGUUUAGACUUUAUCAGCUAUCUGUUUAGUUUUGAGCUUUUCUUUAAUGCACUUUUCAGUUAACAAGUCAACAUCAAUUUCUUUUGCUGUAAAAAAAGCUUGAGGAAGGUGGCUUGAGAUUCGUCUUAAGUGUUUAUAGCCUCUUGCCUAUGCAGUCGGAGAGAUUGAGGUCUGCAGCGUAGAUCCUUCGGGGCUAAAUGCAUUUGUGCUAAGUUAUAGCAUUUUAUAGACAACUUGUUGACUAUGAUUUGUCUUGUAGCUUACUCGCUUAUGUUAUUUUACCUACGCUUAGGAUGUUGAAUCUGUGCGAGACUAC
rnacentral:rRNA from 1 species